rnacentral:rRNA from 1 species
CAAGUCGAACGAGGUCCAUGCAGUGGCAACACUGCGGAAGACCUAGUGGCGAACGGGUGAGUAACACGUGAGGAACUUGCCCCGGAGACCGGGAUAAGCCCCCGAAAGGGGGUCUAAUACCGGAUGCCCUCACCGAGUCGCAUGGCUUGGUGAGGAAAUGGAUUCCGCUCCGGGAGAGCCUCGCGGCCUAUCAGCUAGUUGGUGGGGUAACGGCCCACCAAGGCGUCGACGGGUAGCUGGUCUGAGAGGACGAUCAGCCACACUGGGACUGAGACACGGCCCAGACUCCUACGGGAGGCAGCAGUGGGGAAUCUUGCGCAAUGGGCGAAAGCCUGACGCAGCAACGCCGCGUGCGGGAUGACGGCCCUCGGGUUGUAAACCGCUUUCAGUGGGGACGAACCAAGACGGUACCCACAGAAGAAGGUCCGGCCAACUACGUGCCAGCAGCCGCGGUAACACGUAGGGACCAAGCGUUGUCCGGAUUCAUUGGGCGUAAAGAGCUCGUAGGCGGUUCGGUAAGUCGGGUGUGAAACCUCCAGGCUCAACCUGGAGACGCCACCCGAUACUGCUGUGACUAGAGUCCAGUAGGGGAGCGUGGAAUUCCUGGUGUAGCGGUGAAAUGCGCAGAUAUCAGGAGGAACACCAGCGGCGAAGGCGGCGCUCUGGGCUGGAACUGACGCUGAGGAGCGAAAGCGUGGGGAGCGAACAGGAUUAGAUACCCUGGUAGUCCACGCCGUAAACGUUGGGUACUAGGUGUGGGGUCUUAUCAACGGAUUCCGUGCCGAAGCUAACGCAUUUAAGUACCCCGCCUGGGGAGUACGGACGCAAGGCUAAAACUCAAAGAAUUUGACGGGGGCCC